GAAAGGCUUGUAACUCAGUGGAAGAGCAUCUGCUUUGCAUGCAGGGAAUCCCAGGUUUAAUCUCUGGCAUCUUCA